rnacentral:misc_RNA from 1 species
UUCGUGCGUGUGCUCUCCCUCACCGCCGUUCAACGCUGUUCCGCGUUGCACCGACAUGCACGCUUUCGGUGCCUCCUCCUCCGUCAUUCUGUUGUCCCUGCUCUUCCUUGUCUCUUCCAUUGCUCGCUAUUCCCAUAUUUGUGCGCAUGCGGUGGCCGCGCCUGACUGCGGUGGUGGGGCACCACCGUUGCCCAUGCAGGCAGUGUGCCCGAACUAGCGGGUGGGGGCAGCCGCGGGGUGACGGGUGCUGCGCGACGAAGUGACAGGGGCGCGUGGCCUGCAGGCUGUGUACGCAAGGUGUUACCCGGUGCUGCAGCGCCGACGCCUUGGUGUGUCCUUGCACUAUAGCGACAGACAGCAAGGUGGCGUGCAUCGGAAUAGCGCGGAGGCGCGGUUCACGCCUCCGCCUCUGCUUUAUCACACGGACUUCGCUGAGACGUACUGCGGAUUCGACCGGCAGAGGGUGGGGUACACUCGACCACUCGCGGAGCGCUCCAUCAUCCGCGUCGAGGGCGAUCGAGAGGUGUGCUGCAAGUCUGCGGACACAUUCUUGCUGGCGCACUACGCUCCCCCGCCAUAUCCUGCGGCAGACGCGCCGCGACAAUGCAGCCGCGGCGUUCUUCCCUGAGCGAUGCCAUCAGCGCGUUCACAUCGACUUUCGGCGCUGUCUAGGGGUAACGGAAUGCCUGUGGCUCCUCGUUGGCGGCCCACGCAAAAUCCUAUCACGGUGCGCAUCUGUCGCCGCUUCAGUGAGCUGUGCAGCGUUCCGCAUUCUUGGGCGGAGCAGAUGUAGUGGCGCACGGACGAGGCGCGGGCAACAGCGGACUCGUUCGCCACGCUCUACCACCGCAACGGCAUCAACGCCGACACGAUCCGCAUUGCGCCGAUGGCGGUAGUCAUGCACGAGUACGGUUGGGCCAGAUACGUGGGCGAGCCGACGGUGAGGAGGGCGAGGUGCUCGGACUCGUUCGACAGCUCGCCCAAUCUGACGGUGGAGCAGCGACUGCGGCUAUAUGCGUUCUUCUCCGACUUCAUGUGGAAAGACCGCAAGGGGUGGGACGUACUGCUGGGCGUCUCCUGGGAACGCCUCCGGCCCCGACGUGCCGCUGGCGCUGCGGGAGCGCAGGGCACUGGCCAUCAACACAAAGUUCGAGGCGGCGCUCACGAGAGGCUUGAUGCACGGUGGCAUCUUGCGCUUCAUCGAGGCGUGGGGCCACCCUGGCCCCCCCCCCCCCCCCCCCCCCGGUCGGGCUGAUCCGUCUCUCUAACUCCCCUUACCUGAUGGCCAUUGGCGGCUCACUGUCGAGCACGGACAUGGCGCAGAUGCGCGCCAACACCGACGCCUUCGUGUACCCGUGGACGCUCUACAGGGGAUCACGCUGGCCUAGGCGUACCGUUACGACGAAGGCAUGGCGAUGGCUGUGCCGAGCAGCGAGAGGACUGCAGAGUUGAUGCAGGACGUUGUGCAGCAUCCGGGACACGCACAGCACGUAGGUAGGCGCGCACGCGAGCUUGUGCGUGAGCUCGGCCGGGUGGCCGUUACAGACCGGAUGGGCCAACCGCUCCGCCAGCAGUGCGCCGGCGAAUCAGCACCGAAAACACUUGCUCUCAGGUGUGCACCUGCCGAAACGGACAACGGCGCUGAGGUGCUGUGCACAAUGGCGGCUCUGAGCUGGUAGCCGCUGACGUGCAUUCGCCAAGAAAGGUGAGACGAGGGUGACGGUAUGCUGCGGUCAGUGCAUGAAUGCCACGGGCUGAGUGGGCGCGUGUGCAGAUCAUCUUUCGCUCUCCUCCACUCACGCGCGCGCAGAAUGUUGUUCUUCGAUGGCGACGUCUUGUCCGCUCUGCGCCGGCCUCUCUCCCCUUUCUUUCUCCCUCUUCUGUGCUCUCACUUGGCGGCGUGUGUUGCUUAAAGCGGCGUACGUGUGCGUCUCUGUGCAUGCGAACACGUAUCGAAGAUUCGCGCGGACGCUCUCCGUCCCUUUUUUUUUUGCUGAGCGCGCGCGCCCGUGCGCAGUGGGCACGCACUUGGCGCCACUCUUGCACUCACACCUUCUCUCGAGUCGCCGCCAUUUUCUGGAGCUGGCGUAUCUCUGCUCUCGUUGUUUCACACGUCUACCCACCACCCUCGGGCCACUGCCCCCCUUCCUCCACCACUUCCUCCCC